rnacentral:rRNA from 1 species
AGGGUUUGAUCAUGGCUCAGGACGAACGCUGGCGGCGUGCUUAACACAUGCAAGUCGAACGGUGACGAUCAAGCUUGCUUGGUCUGAUCAGUGGCGAACGGGUGAGUAACACGUGAGUAACCUGCCCCAGACUCUGGGAUAACCCCGGGAAACCGGAGCUAAUACCGGAUAUGACACGCCCCUGCAUGGGGAGUGUGUGGAAAGUUUUUCGGUCUGGGAUGGACUCGCGGCCUAUCAGCUUGUUGGUGAGGUAAUGGCUCACCAAGGCGACGACGGGUAGCCGGCCUGAGAGGGCGACCGGCCACACUGGGACUGAGAGACGGCCCAGACUCCUACGGGAGGCAGCAGUGGGGAAUAUUGCACAAUGGGCGAAAGCCUGAUGCAGCGACGCCGCGUGAGGGAUGACGGCCUUCGGGUUGUAAACCUCUUUCAGCAGGGAAGAAGCGCAAGUGACGGUACCUGCAGAAGAAGCACCGGCUAACUACGUGCCAGCAGCCGCGGUAAUACGUAGGGUGCGAGCGUUGUCCGGAAUUAUUGGGCGUAAAGAGCUUGUAGGUGGUUUGUCGCGUCUGCUGUGAAAAUCCGAGGCUCAACCUCGGACUUGCAGUGGGUACGGGCAGACUAGAGUGUGGUAGGGGAGACUGGAAUUCCUGGUGUAGCGGUGGAAUGCGCAGAUAUCAUGAGGAACACCGAUGGCGAAAGCAGGUCUCUGGGCCAUUACUGACACUGAGAAGCGAAAGCAUGGGGAGCGAACAGGAUUAGAUACCCUGGUAGUCCAUGCCGUAAAC